rnacentral:rRNA from 1 species
UACGAAGGGGGCUAGCGUUGUUCGGAUUUACUGGGCGUAAAGGGCGCGUAGGCGGCAACUCAAGUCAUCUGUGAAAUCUCCGGGCUUAACUCGGAACGGUCAGAUGAUACUGUUUUGCUAGAGUGCAGAAGGGGCAAUCGGAAUUCUUGGUGUAGCGGUGAAAUGCGUAGAUAUCAAGAGGAACACCUGAGGUGAAGACGGGUUGCUGGGCUGACACUGACGCUGAGGCGCGAAAGCCAGGGGAGCAAACGGG